UGAGGAAUAUUGGUCAAUGGACGCAAGUCUGAACCAGCCAAGUAGCGUGCAGGAUGACGGCCCUAUGGGUUGUAAACUGCUUUUAUAUGGGGAUAAAGUGGGGAACGUGUUCCCUUUUGCAGGUACCAUAUGAAUAAGGACCGGCUAAUUCCGUGCCAGCAGCCGCGGUAAUACGGAAGGUUCGGGCGUUAUCCGGAUUUAUUGGGUUUAAAGGGAGCGUAGGCCGUUUGGUAAGCGUGUUGUGAAAGGUAGGAGCUCAACUUCUAGAUUGCAGCGCGAACUGUCAGACUUGAGUGCGCACAACGUAGGCGGAAUUCAUGGUGUAGCGGUGAAAUGCUUAGAUAUCAUGAAGAACUCCGAUUGCGAAGGCAGCUUACGGGAGCGAAACUGAAGCUGAAGCUCGAAGGUGCGGGUAUCGAACAGG
rnacentral:rRNA from 1 species